rnacentral:rRNA from 1 species
GACAUGCUUGAAGUAGAAACUCGAAAGAGGGAGACCCUGUAUCCAAUCAGGAGCUUGCACAGGUGCUGCAUGGCUGUCGUCAGCUCGUGCCGUGAGGUGUUAGGUUAAGUCCUGCAACGAGCGCAACCCUCGUCGCUAGUUAAUUUUUCUAGCGAUACUGCCCGUAUAACGCGGAGGAAGGUGGGAUGACGUCAAGUCAGCAUGGCCCUUACGUCCUGGGCUACACACACGCUACAAUGGGUGAUACAAAAGGUUGCAAUAGAGUGAUCUGGAGCUAAUCCUGAAAAUCAUCCUCAGUUCGGAUUGUAGGCUGAAACUGCCUGCAUGAAGUUGGAGUUGCUAGUAACCGCAGGUCAGCACACUGCGGUGAAUACGUUCUCGGGCCUU